rnacentral:rRNA from 1 species
CCUACGGGUGGCAGCAGUGAGGAAUAUUGGUCAAUGGGCGCGAGCCUGAACCAGCCAAGUAGCGUGAAGGAUGACUGCCCUACGGGUUGUAAACUUCUUUUAUAAAGGAAUAAAGUGAGGCACGUGUGCCUUUUUGUAUGUACUUUAUGAAUAAGGAUCGGCUAACUCCGUGCCAGCAGCCGCGGUAAUACGGAGGAUCCGUGCGUUAUCCGGAUUUAUUGGGUUUAAAGGGGGCGUAGGCGGGCGGAUAAGUUAGAUGUGAAAUCCCGAGGCUCAACCCCGGAAUUGCCGCUGAUACUGGUCGGCGAGAGAGUAGUGGCGGUAGGCGGAAUGCAUGGUGUAGCGGUGAAAUGCUUAGAGAUCAUGCAGAACACCGAUUGCGAAGGCAGCUUACCGAGCUACUACUGACGUUGAGGCACGAAAGCGUGGGGAGCAAACAGGAUUUGAUACCCGAGUAGUC